CCUUGUGAAUUGUUUUGAAUGUAAAUAUCGCAUAUGGUGCUUUUUCUCAAAUGUAACUGUGUGAUGUCAUUUUGAGAUGUGCAGCUAUUUAGGGUCCUCAAACUUUUAUUUUUCGUUUUCAGUUUUUAGUUAAGAAAAGCUAUUAGUCUUUAUCAUUAGACAAUAAUAUUUUAUAUAAAUAUCUCAUCUAUUUCAAACCUUUCUCGAGUCGAGAGACUCUGUGACCGCACUCUCCUUUAUGAGUAUGAACUGUCGUCUUUCUUCCCUUCCCAAACCCUGACCAUAGUUUUCUAUGAGUAGGAUACACUGGGUAUGAUGACGAUGAUCUAUUUCAAACACACAAUUUUAAAAUGAAUUUUAUUUUUCAAAUACUACCUAUAAAAAUGGACUUUGUAAGAAAUGCCAUAGAAUAAUUUUUUUUUUUUUGUCAAUAACUGUCUUCUUAAUUACAUUUUUUUAAAAGGCUACCAACUAACAAUUUUCAUAUGUUUCUGUGAUUAAGUUUAUUUAUAUAUUUUAAUUUUUACAAAAUAAAAAUGCAAAACAAAGUAAACUACUUCAUUGUAACCUGAUGUCAACUUUUGGGCGUUCACUUGAGCUUCCUUCUAAUUUGGCCCAGCUAUUUUCGUUGACACAAUUAAACUUCAACUCUCCUAAGCAAGUGUUAUGUUUCAGGAAAGUUGAAAAAGGGUAAAACUGCAUUGCAAAUUGUUCAUGAUCGUCCGAGGGAGAAUAAAAAUGAUGAAGAAAGUGGAGGCUCCACUCUUUCCUUUAUAAAUCCUCAUGAUGCAUUGUUAUUAUUUAAGCAAAUGCUGGAUCAGGAUUGCGAGCUACUCUAUUUGAAUGAUAGACCUGAAAAACUUGUAAUUACCAACAUGUGUGUUCCUCCUUUGUCCCUGCGUUCUUCUGUUUUUGUUGAUGGUGGAAUUCAAAGGUCUGGUUUCUCAACUUAUCUGCAUGCGCUGUUGCUUGUCUCUGGUUACCUUUUUCUGUUUUAUCCAAAAAGAAUUAGGGUCUAUUAUAUCUAACUUAAUAAUGCUAAACUUAUCUGAAGUCAGAACUUAUGAGUGCCAAACUGAACAUAUUUUGAACAGAAAAUUAAAUGAAAUUAUCUUUGUAUAGCAUCUUUUACAAAAAAAACUACCACUUAACGAAAUUAGUUAGUUGAUCGUCAAGUGUAUCUUUGACCUUGCACGUGACAGGCACGUGAUCUCCACUUGGCAUUAUCAAUUUGAUCCUUGUAUUUUUUUAAAAUAUUUUUAAAAUAAAACAAAUAUUUUAAUAAAAAAAUAAAAAAAGGAAAAACACCACCAUUACUGACUUGAUCAACACCACCAUUAUCAAUUUGAUCCUUCCCAAUAUGAUUAUCAAUUGGAUUAAGAUUCUCAUUACUCCCUCCAUUAUCAAUUUGAUCCUUCCCAAUAUGAUUAAGAUUCUCAU